rnacentral:rRNA from 1 species
AUGGCCUCCUCACCGGCACCAGGUGGACGCGGAGGAGAAGGUAGAGGGCAGGCGUUGAUCACUGGGAGCAGCCGGGCGUCCACCGGUGGUGACGCCUGCUCGAUCAAGGAGCGAGGGAGGGAGGAGAAGUCGGGAAUGAAGCCGUAUUGGUCCGGGAGCGUAUACAUAGUACUCAUAUUCUUUUGCGUAACGUUAGACAAUUACCAGAUGGUACAAGUUUCAGUUUUCAGGUAG